GACGAACGCUGGCGGCGUGCUUAACACAUGCCAGUCGAACGGAAAGGCCCUGCUUGCAGGGUACUUGAGUGGCGAACGGGUGAGUAACACGUGGGUGAUCUGCCCUGCACUUCGGGAUAAGCCUGGGAAACUGGGUCUAAUACCGGAUAGGAGCCAUUUUUAGUGUGAUGGUUGGAAAGUUUUUUCGGUGUAGGAUGAGCUCGCGGCCUAUCAGCUUGUUGGUGGGGUAAUGGCCUACCAAGGCGGCGACGGGUAGCCGGCCUGAGAGGGUGGACGGCCACAUUGGGACUGAGAUACGGCCCAGACUCCUACGGGAGGCAGCAGUGGGGAAUAUUGCACAAUGGGCGCAAGCCUGAUGCAGCGACGCCGCGUGGGGGAUGACGGCCUUCGGGUUGUAAACUCCUUUCGCUAGGGACGAAGCUUUUUGUGACGGUACCUAGAUAAGAAGCACCGGCUAACUACGUG
rnacentral:rRNA from 1 species